UGAGAUCUGGCAUUGCCUGGUUUUACCCUUGAAGAGAAGCACCAGCUUGGGCCCUUACCAGCCUUUGCUUAUUAGCUGAUUUAUCCUGCCAUGCCCAGGGAUUCUGUGCGCAAGAUAAAGGUUUGGAUGUGCAAACGUUUCUUUGUUUUUCUUGGCAUAGAGGAUGCAGAAGCUGUGUAGAACUUGCUGGGAAUGGAUAUGUAUAGAAAACCAAUAUGAAUUUGCCAUCCCAGUGCCUGGCAAAUGCCCGAGUUCACACGGAGGGACGGGUGCAGAGCCCUGAAGAAAAUAAUAGGCUUAAUUUGAAAAGAGCUGAAUUGGAAACUCAAAAUAAUUACAGCCUUUUAAAAGCUUUUAGAUAGAAAGAUUCCAGCACAAAAGACAUCACUUUUAGUUAGCCAGACUUUCCAGAGGAGUUCAGACCCAGCCUGUCCUUCCCAGUAAGCUUAAGCCCUUUGUCCUCAAUUUUCCACAAUUCCCUGUUAAUAUUGGGUCUGACCAACUCCGCCAAUUCAAAGGAGCAUUUGAUGGAAGUUGAAUUUCUGCUAAAUUCUCCUUGGGGAUGUUGUCCCAGCAGCUCUUGCUUGCUCAUUUGUGCUUGUGGUAAACAUUGGUAAGGAAGGACAUGCCACACAUUUCGACAUUUUGUGUGCUUGUGUGCGUCGUGGGAAUGUGGUGAGCCUUCCGUCUUCACUCUAUGGCACCUAUACAAGGUCUAGUGUGUUUGUUUUUAUCGUCGUUAGCAAAAGCGCCUACUUUCUGGUAAGUGAUGGUGUCACAAAGAGACAGUUUCAACAGAAGUGCCCUUGGGCCACCUUCUGGGAAAAAGAUGGCCAUGUGGAAUUUGGAACAUGAAGGAAGCUACUAUGGCUGAGAGCCUAGAAACAAACCAACCCCAGAUGGUCUUUUUGUGGUUGGCACUACCCUCAGGAUACUCAUGGUUCCUACCUAGGGACCAGUUCUGGGAUUGGCAGGCCGUGGUCACAGCAGGUAGCCUUUGGCCAACACUCCGGCACACUGUAAAAUGCAUGUACGGCAAUGAAAGCUGUGUGAGAGAGAACCUGAGCUCAGGAAAUGUCCUGAGGUAGCAGCCAGUCUCAAUCCAGGGCUUUUGUUGCCAUGCUAACAGAUUUACACUCAGAUAAUCAGUACCUGGUAAAGCUAAAUGCAGAUGGUUUCCUACUGGUCUGGGAGUGGGAGGACAUUGUUUGUCUUUUUGGAUGCGGGAUGACCUAGGCUGGCUGCAGCUUGGAGAACUCCUGAUUCUUUAAGUUCCUCUCUGCAGGGGCUGCCACUGCCCGGCAAUUUGGUUAACUUAGAACACUGCUCCAUGGCUGGAAACAGAAGGAAUGUGUGGAAAAGUGGUGACGUUUGAAGCAUCCUGUUUGUGUCGUCAUGGUGAAAAUUAGUCACUGUUUGUGCGGGUCAGUGGGGCCAAACAUAUCCUGACGUUGUUUCCCGGGUAAAGCGGAGCAGAAUAUGUCUAUGGCAAGAAAGACCGUGUUUGUGAACCGUGUGUGAGGUUUGACCUGCCGCCUGGGAGCCCAUGGCUGUCACUUCUAAACCUGGGUAUUUUCUGAAAGCCGAGCACUUUGUAUUACAUUUCACUUUUCAUGUUCUAUCUUUUUUUAAACCCAAUGUAGGGGGCGGUUUAAUUCUGUUCUGUGUUUUUCUGUAUCGAAGUGGAAAGAAAAUAAAGAUACUCUAUUGA